rnacentral:rRNA from 1 species
UACAGAGGUCUCAAGCGUUGUUCGGAUUCAUUGGGCGUAAAGGGUGCGCAGGCGGACUGGUUAGUCUGGGGUGAAAUCUCAUCGCUUAACGGUGAAACUGCCUUAGAUACUGCCAGUCUUGAAUCAGCGAGAGGUUCGUGGAAUUCCGAGUGUAGCAGUGAAAUGUGUAGAUAUUCGGAAGAACACCAGUGGCGAAGGCAGCGAACUGGCGCUCGAUUGACGCUCAGGCACGAAAGCAUGGGGAUCAAACAGG